AGAUCGGGGCCCUCGGAGCCGCGGCGAGCGUGGGAGCCAUGCCCGGAGGCAGGAGCGGCCGGGGAGCCCGCGCGACCUGCUCGCGCCGUCCGAGAUGAGCUCAGGUGAGGAUGCCAUCCCCUGCCGUGGGUCUCCCUCUGCAGCACAGCUCACGGUUGUCAUCGUCCAUGGCUCGUUUCUUGCCUGGGUCUCUCCCCACACACAUUGGAUCCCCCACGCCCAUCCUGGUGGACCGAGAGGACUCCCGAUUUCCCAGGAUUUGGUACAACCAAGAGCAGCGGUGCCAGAAUCUGCAGCACUGACAGCUUCGAGACCGCCCAGCUCCGGUCUCUGGGACAUCCCGUGCUGGGAUGAGGUCCCCGUGGCCCUCCUGUCCCACACCCCUGCACCCAUGGUCAUUUCACUGCAUCUCCAGCAGCUCCGGAUGGUGGUCAGCUUUCUGUGUCAGCUUGGCCAGGCCGUAGCACCCGGGGAAUUCAACCAAACCCUGACCUGGGUGCAGCUGUGCUUGGUAGGUGGGGUCAGCAUCUACAGUCACGGCCUUGGAGUGAAGGAGGGUGUCCCCUAUAACACGGGUGGGCUUCACCCAAGCUCUGAGCGCACCACUGAGGUUUCCCUGGGGAAGGGGUACGUCCACCUCGGACUGCAGGGUUCCCGGCUGGCCUGGCCGCCUCCCGAUCCCACACUUGGCCCAGCCAGCCCACAGUCACAAAGGCCAGUUGUUUGCAAUGUGUUACCCAUCUCCUCCUUCUGGCUCUCACUGGCACGCUCACCGCAAGGUUCCCGCGACGGGACGGGAGGCGCUGGCCUCUGCUCCACUGUCCUUUUCCGACUCUCUUCCAGGAGUGCCGACAGUUUCUCGGUCCCCGUCAGCCGGCGGUGGGGUCACAUCUUUCUGUUCCCCCGGUCUCCUUUUUAUCAGCAGGUCCCGGGAGAAGCCACGGACGCGCGCCAGGGAGGGGCCGGCUGUGAGUGUUUCUUUGGCAGUGUCUUAGCUGGUUGUUGUGAGUCACAGAGAAGGAAGCAAUCAGCAAGUAUACUGCCCUAG
rnacentral:lncRNA from 1 species